rnacentral:tRNA from 1 species
UCCCUGGCGGUCCAGUGGUUAAGACUCUGCACUUCCAAUGCAGGGGGUGCAGGUUCAAGCUCUGGUUGGGGAA